AAUCCAUAGGUUAAUGAGGCGAACCGGGGGAACUGAAACAUCUAAGUACCCCGAGGAAAAGAAAUCAACCGAGAUUCCCCCAGUAGCGGCGAGCGAACGGGGAGGAGCCCAGAGCCUGAAUCAGCAUGUGUGUUAGUGGAAGCGUCUGGAAAGGCGCGCGAUACAGGGUGACAGCCCCGUACACAAAAGCGCAUGUGCUGUGAGCUCGAUGAGUAGGGCGGGACACGUGGUAUCCUGUCUGAAUAUGGGGGGACCAUCCUCCAAGGCUAAAUACUCCUGACUGACCGAUAGUGAACCAGUACCGUGAGGGAAAGGCGAAAAGAACCCCGGCGAGGGGAGUGAAAAAGAACCUGAAACCGUGUACGUACAAGCAGUGGGAGCCCCACCACCAAAGCAUUCUCUGGUGUUGAAGGCCCUGCAAAGCAGCA
rnacentral:rRNA from 1 species